GGAAAGGCCAUGCAGGUCCACCGCAAGAAGGCAGCCCUCUGCAAGCAAGGACAAGAGGCCUUACCAGAAACCUACCCUGCUGGCUCUUGAUCUUGGGGCUUCCAGCCUCCAGAACUUUGUGAUUUGAAGAGUAACCUUCUUCAGAAAACUGUGGAGACUUCACAGAAAUGGCAGAAGCUAGUUGAAGUCUACAAAUUACCUAAUGGAACAGGUGUUAUUCCCAUGAGAUUCCCAAAUAAACUUCCUGCAUGCAAAUCUCCAUCUCAGCAUCUGUUUCCCUGAGGAGGAACCAACCUAAAAUGAAUUGCAAAUUAAAAUCUCAAAGUGAGUCAAAGCAACCAGAAUUUCCCUUCCCAAGAGGGGACCAGCCCCAUACCCAUGAGGAAAGGAUGCUACACAGAGAAGCCAAGAAGAGUCUGCAUGGAUAGGCCUUACUGGCUUCCUCACCUGAGUGUAUCACCAUUAAUUAGAUGAUACCUCUUUGUCCAAUCACAUUUCUACAUGGCUGUCCCCAGUUUAAGGACAAAAACAGACAGUCUCCCCUUGAGUCUUUGAGUCUUCAUUUUUGAAGGCUUCCAUGUCACAAAAAAAUCUUUGAUUAAAUAAAUUGAUGUUUUUCUCUUGUAAACUUGUAUUUUGUUAUAGGAGUAUCAGCUGUGACCCUUAUGAUGGGUGAGGAAAGUUAUCACACCCUUUCUGUCCCUACAACUCAAAUGAAGAUCUAAAACAUUUUCAGCACUUCAGAAGUUUUCCUGGUGCCCUAUCCUGGAUAGUAACCUUCCCU
rnacentral:lncRNA from 1 species